GCAUCGGUGGUUCAGUGGUAGAAUACUCGCCUGCCACGCGGGUGACCCGGGUUCGAUUCCCGGCUGACACA
rnacentral:tRNA from 1 species